GUAUCAAGGUUUUUGUUUUUUUUGUGGUUUCUUCCCCAGCUUCUCCAUGGAUGGGACAGUUUGAUCGGAAGGGCAAUGUCCCCAAAGCCCCCAGUUGGGUGAAGGUGGCAGGCAGGAAGUGGGA